AUAUCAAUAAGCGGAGGAAAAGAAACCAACAGGGAUUGCCUCAGUAACGGCGAGUGAAGCGGCAACAGCUCAAAUUUGAAAUCUGGAGCCUUCGGCUUCCGAGUUGUAAUUUGAAGAGGAUGUUUCGGUGCGACCUGGGCCUAAGUUCCUUGGAACAGGACGUCAUGGAGGGUGAGAAUCCCGUACAUGGCUGCAGGUUUGCUUCUAUGUGAAACUCCUUCGAAGAGUCGAGUUGUUUGGGAAUGCAGCUCAAAAUGGGUGGUAAAUUUCAUCUAAAGCUAAAUAUUGGGGGGAGACCGAUAGCGCACAAGUAGAGUGAUCGAAAGAUGAAAAGCACUUUGAAAAGAGAGUUAAACAGUACGUGAAAUUGUUGAAAGGGAAGCGCUUGCAAUCAGACUCGCCUUCAGUUGAUCAGCCUUCCUUCUGGUUGGUGCACUCUGCUGUUGGCGGGCCAGCAUCAGUUGGGGCGGCGGGACAAAGGUAGCAGGAAUGUGGCUCACCUCGGUGAGUGUUAUAGCCUGCUGCGCCAUGCCGCCAGCCCCGACUGAGGUCCGCGGUUCGCCUAGGAUGCUGGCUUAAUGGUUGUAAGCGA
rnacentral:rRNA from 1 species